CAGCCCCCCUCACAAACUGAAGACCUCUAUUUAUCCAUAGAAGAGAUAUAACACAAGAAGUGGCAGUGCAAGCUUCACGACACCUCCCAGUCAAAAAGCAACAACCCUGACCUGGAAGGAUUAUUGCUUCUACAGCAUGAAGAUGGGUUAGUUUAUAAACCAAUUCAAUCCUUGGAAUUU
ensembl:misc_RNA